rnacentral:rRNA from 1 species
GAUGAACGCUGGCGGCGUGCUUAACACAUGCAAGUCGAACGGAAAGGCCCUGCUUUUGUGGGGUGCUCGAGUGGCGAACGGGUGAGUAACACGUGAGUAACCUGCCCUUGACUUUGGGAUAACUUCAGGAAACUGGGGCUAAUACCGGAUAGGAGCUCCUGCUGCAUGGUGGGGGUUGGAAAGUUUCGGCGGUUGGGGCUGGACUCGCGGCUUAUCAGCUUGUUGGUGGGGUAGUGGCUUACCAAGGCUUUGACGGGUAGCCGGCCUGAGAGGGUGACCGGCCACAUUGGGACUGAGAUGCGGCACAGACUCCUACGGGAGGCAGCAGGGGGGAAUAUUGCACAAUGGGCGGAAGCCUGAUGCAGCAACGCCGCGGGCGGGAUGACGGCCUUCGGGUUGUAAACCGCUUUCGCCUGUGACGAAGCGUGAGUGACGGUAAUGGGUAAAGAAGCACCGGCUAACUACGUG